rnacentral:lncRNA from 1 species
UUUUCAUUUAUUGGUGCCUGUUGUGUAAGUGGUUUUAUGCAUAUUGUUGCUAUAAAUGGAAAACUGGCUCAACUAAGACAACCGUGCAGUCCAGCCUCUGUUCAAGAGCUUCAUAACUUCUGCAGAGACGGGUUUUAAGCCUUAAUCUUGUUAGCUGUAAGGCUCUGCGACGGCUCCCUUCUGACUCGCCGUCGACUCUGGCUGUCGGGGUAUCGAUCCGACCUGCAGCCAUUAGCAUAAUUCAGCAGUUACAUUUAAUAGCAGGCGAGAGGUAACAUUGUGUUCAUGCGGAGAACACGUGUGAGGCAGCAACAUGCCACAGCUUUGACGUCAGUUUAUUUACCGCUGCUAUUACUGCCUCUGUCAGCUAUUCCGACGGUUAUAUAACGAUCAGCUUCAACCUUCAAAGGUGAAUGUGUGUGAAAAUGUGUAUGAAAAUUCCCUCAGGAAUGUAUAAACUCCUUAAUCCAUAUUUCUCAUUACUUCCUCCUCAUUUCUCGCCUUCUCUGUAGCCCAUUCCAGCUGAUAUGAUUUUGGCAUCCCUCUGAAAGUAUGCAUGGAGACAGCAAUUCAUGCACAUCUGAGAACACUGGCAUGUCAGCACAAGCAGCCCUUCCCCUGCAGGAAUGCAGAGCAACGGAGAGAUGGAGGGAGAGAAAUGGCACACAUACAGAGUGUGGAAACCACUGCAGGUCCUGAAAGGGGAGCAAAGGUCAGAGAAGAGCAGGAGCCGUUGACACCCCCAACCUUAAAAGGGCUUAAUGCGCUAAAAUGAUAUUCUGAAUGUUUCAGAUUCCUGUCGCAGUGAUGCUAAAUGAACCAAAGCAUCUAGUCUGCUUUUGUCUCACAGAUUAAAUCUGCUCAGACGUCCUCGCUCACCACUGACACACGCUCCACAUGUUCAGGCCUUUGUGCAUUUGUCAAGCACGUGAGCGAGGUUAGGAUGUACGGAAUCGGCUCACGUCCACCUUUAAAAUGAUGUCGCGAGCCUUCGGUAAACAGAAUGAAGAUUAAGAUGGAGGGGAAGGAGAAGGAGUGCAGAGAGCAGCCUGCCCUUAUGAAACCCCUGCACCUGUGUAGAGUCAUGUGGCACCAGCAUGUUCUCACCUGUGUGGACAUUUUUU